rnacentral:lncRNA from 1 species
CGGACAUUGGAACUUACAAUAGAUGCAAUCAAAUAGACAAUGAAGAUGCGGACAUUGGAACUUAAAGGUAAUAAAAUAAAGUGGAAAUGAAGGUAGUGGGGAGAGGAAAAAUAAUUUGCAACCAUAAACUUAGAGUAAAUGUUAAGAGGGAAAGAGGAAAGAAAUGGAGGUCUUGCAACAACGAACUGAUAUAAUUGUAUCGAAUCGAUUCAAUGAAACAAGUUCGUCUGAUCGAGGAGAGUGCCCCAGACCCGUGAAUAAAUCCACGGGUGCCCGAAGCAGAGAGCGGUGGAGGUAUACUCCUGAUAUUGAGGCUUAACUUCCCUAACAAUAGCUGUUAAGCUGAGUUAGGUUGGAGCUCAAUUCGGUGGGCUGCAACAGCACGAGAACAAUCUGGACACGAUGAUAACCGACUGGAAUCCAAGACGAUCGACGGAUGAACGGAGAUGGAAGAUACUCGACAGUUAUCGCCAGAGUCUUGACUGGAUUUAGGUGGAAGGAACCUUUUUAUUUCAUAGAUUAGUUGUCCUAAAAAUUCAAUGUAACAGUACGUUAGUACUUAUCUAUUAAAGAAAUCCUUAAUCCAACUUGGCUUUUGUAUUUUUCUUUUAGGUAUGGUUCUUGCCAAUGAAUCGGGUUCAUGGUCGUUUAACGACUCCAGCUCGUCGCCGUCACCAAUCUCGCGAUUUAGGUCACUGAAUGAAGUGCUUCAUAGUGAAGAUAAAGGUAGGUGGUAGAAAUAUAUUUCCUGAUCACAACUAGAGUCUAAAAGAGACAAAAUUAGAAAUAAUCAUUAAAUAUAUAAACGAUUGUGAGAGAAUUAGAAAUUUUCAUUAAAAAUAGAGGAUCAGGAUGACGACGACAUUUUUUGACUCAUAUAAACUAUGCUUAUAAGUCAUUAAAUAAACAGUUAUAAGUCAUUAUCACAAU